rnacentral:rRNA from 1 species
GUGGGGAAUAUUGGACAAUGGGCGAAAGCCUGAUCCAGCCAUGCCGCGUGUGUGAAGAAGGUCUUCGGAUUGUAAAGCACUUUAAGUUGGGAGGAAGGGCAGUAAGUUAAUACCUUGCUGUUUUGACGUUACCGACAGAAUAAGCACCGGCUAACUUCGUGCCAGCAGCCGCGGUAAUACGAAGGGUGCAAGCGUUAAUCGGAAUUACUGGGCGUAAAGCGCGCGUAGGUGGUUUUGUAAGUUGGAGGUGAAAUCCCCGGGCUCCACCUGGGAACUGCCUCCAAAACUGCAUGACUAGAGUACGGUAGAGGGUAGUGGAAUUUCCUGUGUAGCGGUGAAAUGCGUAGAUAUAGGAAGGAACACCAGUGGCGAAGGCGACUACCUGGACUGAUACUGACACUGAGGUGCGAAAGCGUGGGGAGCAAACAGGAUUAGAAACCCGUGUAGUCC